rnacentral:rRNA from 1 species
GUGGGGAAUAUUGGGCAAUGGGCGCAAGCCUGACCCAGCGACGCCGCGUGGGUGAUGAAGGCCUUCGGGUCGUAAAACCCUGUCAUGCGGGAAGAAAGGCUCGGGCUCUAACAUAGCUCGGGCUUGACGGUACCGCAGGAGGAAGCCCCGGCCAACUCCGUGCCAGCAGCCGCGGUAAUACGGAGGGGGCGAGCGUUAUUCGGAAUUAUUGGGCGUAAAGGGCAGGUAGGCGGCCUCGUGUGUCCCUUGUGAAAUCCCUCGGCUCAACCGAGGAACUGCAGGGGAAACUACGGGGCUUGAGUCCGGGAGAGGAGAGCGGAAUUCCCAGUGUAGCGGUGAAAUGCGUAGAUACUGGGAGGAACACCGGUGGCGAAGGCGGCUCUCUGGACCGGUACUGACGCUGAGCUGCGAAAGCUAGGGGAGCAAACGGGAUUAGAUACCCCUGUAGUCC